rnacentral:rRNA from 1 species
UACGAAGGGGGCGAGCGUUGUUCGGAUUUACUGGGCGUAAAGGGCGCGCAGGCGGCGCAUUUUGUCAGGCGUGAAAGCCCCGGGCUUAACCUGGGAACUGCGUUUGAUACGGAUGGGCUAGAGUUCGGGAGAGGAGAGUGGAAUUCCCAGUGUAGAGGUGAAAUUCGUAGAUAUCUGGAGGAAUACCGGUGGCGAAGGCGGCAUCCUGGACCAUUACUGACGCUGAGGCGCGAAAGCUAGGGGAGCAAACGGG